rnacentral:tRNA from 1 species
GGCUGCGCCGCCGGGUGGACCUGCCGGUCGUCGUGGAGAACGACGCCAACGCCGCGGCGUGGGCGGAGGUCCGGUUCGGCGCCGGCCGCGGCAGC